GGAGAUUUCGAAUUUCCAAAAUCCACAGCUGGCGAGAAAGAGCGAGCGAAAGAGAAAAGAGAGUUGGUUCUCCUUAGUCGGACGGAUUAAUAGUCCAUUGCCGAGUUUGAGGUAUAUUUUCGUCCGGACGUCGAACGACGAGCUUACUCGCUGCCUCCCUCGCAGACUUCUCUCGCGAAAGUUAUAACGGAGUAUCUCAAUCUGCCUCUAAAAACACUCUCUUACUUUCUCUCUCUCUCUCUCUCUCUCUCUCUCGCUCGCUCGCUCGCUCGCUCGCUCGCUCUCUAUCUGAGCGAAGAUAGAAAGUAAUGUCGCGCUUGGUUAUUUAAGUCGAGAGAUAGGAGAUAUUAUGUUACCAAGCCUUUAAGAUCCUUCCGUGUACACGUCGGCCGAUUAAUCAUCGACUUUUCUACUUUCUUCAAAGAAAAUCUUCUCCCGAAGUGUCGUUCGUUUGCUAUAUACAUAUAUGUAAAUGUGGCAAGAGAUUUUGGUAAAGCAAAAACAAAAGGUCAAGAGGAAGAUGGUGAAAACGACGCAAUAAAUCAUCAAGAUCUUCAAGAUCAUCGGGAUCAUCGUUCUACGUCCUCUCUUCGGCCGUUCGAAAAGUUUCUGGUACACGCAGGCCGUCGACAAAGAUCAGAAGGAAUCUACUAGAGCGGAAAUGAAGCGUAAGAAGUGUCCGUAUCGUCUGUGACAGAUCGACAGACGCUGUCGUCGUACACGGUGAUUUAAUUCCGGUAGCACGCGUGCAUCCACGAUUUUACCUCGGAAAGCUCGUUCCAUGUCUCCUCGCAUCACAACCAGUUCGAGAAUGAUUUAUGACAUUAGCCGAGUGAGAAAGCGAAAAUUUACAUUAUCGCGUCGACGCUAACCGCAAUUGUCUACGACUAUUGCGACAAAGGAGGAGACUAAAGGAGGAGGAACGAAGAGACAGAACGCAGAGUUAUUUUGUGAGCGCGUGUGGCCUCCGGUCAUAAGAGACGCUUACCUACCACCGUGUGAUUUAUAAGAUCGCGGAAAGGGAUCCAUUCCUGAAUCAUGCCUAGGUGACACCAUCAACGGUCCUCUUCUUUUUCUCUCCUUUUUCCAUCUCUUUAAAUUCCUCUGGAAAUUCGGCUCAUUGCGCCCACGCUUUAUCUUCAAUUAUUUCGCAUUGAAUUUAUAUCGUCGAUUUAUUUCGCGCCUUACCACUUUCUAAGAAUUUCAUUUAAUUAGCAAGAAUUAUUCCGGGACUACAUAGAUCAUUCUUGAGAAUUAUUUGUAAAAAUUCGUUUAAGGAUGCAAACGACAAAGUACGUUACGCACAAAUAGAUAAGAAAUAUAGCGCGUUAGAUUGGACGACGACAUGCUUGAUUUAUAUCUAUCGUAAAGGUAAUAGAUAAUACGAAUCACGUCAAUCUUAAGAGGACGUUAAUUAACUUAGACACCGAAACCUUUGGAAUUUGACCAAGCGUCGUUGAUUUUAUCUCUUUCUCUUUAUCUCUCUUCCUUGACGAUAAACUCACGACAGAUAGAGGAGAGAGGAUAUUUCGCUAUCAAGUCAGCAUGAAUAUUUUACGGAGGCUCAGAGACUAAUGCCAUUAAAUCGAAAUCUUUCAUAUUUCCCGAGAUUUUCGUUCUUCGAAUGGAGCUUUUUAUAGAGAGCUCGCGUUUCUCGCAAAGGCACGCACGAAUGCAGCGAAAUCGACUUGGCCGUGUUCAUCGGUUAGCAUCUGGUAACGCUGACCCAAGAUCGUAAACAAUCGCAAAAAAUAAAAGAGCCGAAAGAAGGUUACGGGGAUGAUUUAAUGCUUCUAAAAUUAUUAUGGGAAACCAUGAAGAGUAACAGGAUCGAAUAAAAGUCUCGAUUUCGCGUAUUUGUCGAAGUCGUAUGUAAUGUCGCCAGGAAUAGUUAACGAUCGGGGCCAUAUCGAAAAGUAGAAAGCUUCGUGCUUUUAACAUUCUGUUUGUAUUUUCAGUCGCUUCGAAAGGAUCAUAAAAUCAUUUUCGAUGACAUUUACGACGUCCACGAGAUAGGAAUAAUUAUUUUUCAUCGUUUCGCAAAACGAAAGAUAGUAGUCGGAGAUCGCUGACCUAGUUUCUUUUCUCGGAAAUUUGUCGUUCUCUUUAAAUGAAUCCUAACGACUCAACUCGAUUUCCGUCUAGUUGAUUGGGACAUCACGAGUUACGACGCGCGCGCGCACGUGAAAGAAAAAGAAAGAUCAAAGGAGAGAAUAUCGCGGUGCUAGCAAAAAUCCUGCUGUUCCUCCGUCUACGAGUCUACCCUCGAUCACACCUAUAUAACACUUUCCAGAAUGAUAAAUCAGCCGAGUCCCUCUUGCCAUCGUAUAAUAGUCUUUGAAACACCGAGCAAACCGUUUUCUCUCUCUCUCUCUCUCUCUCUCUCUCUCUCUCUUCCCAUUUCUCGCCCUACCAGCACGCGCGCACACAGAGAGACAGAGAGAGAGAGAGAAACACACGUAGAUGCGCCAUGGACCAUCUUCAGAAUGCGACUAUCGAUCAUGAAACUCACGAGCCGAGUCAAACCGGUGCGCGAGCUCCGACCAUUAUUUUAAUCGCUCUUUUUGGGAUCCUAUUGUAGCUGAUUUAUGAGAGUGCCCGAAAUGUUUCUCUCUUUCGAUGCUUUAAAUAUAAUACAUUCCAAUCUGCAAAAGUCCAAUAGGAGGAUCCUUCUUACCUUCCCUCGUUAUCCUUAUUAUUAUUAUUAAAGGGAUAUCAUAAGAUGUAAGAAUGUAUAAAGAAAAAAAAGCGCACGUAGAUUUGACGAGCCCAACAGGAUUCUUGCAUCAAGGAGCACUUUGGGAUCUUUAUGGCGACGUCCAAGAGCGAAGUUUUCCGUAAAAUGAACAACGAAAAAGGAGAAGAAUCAUGCUGCGAAUCGUAUAAUUCCAUCAAGGAGGAAUAAAACUACGGAGCUGGUUAAGAAGCAAUUCUUUUUCUCCGAUGGAAAGUAUUCGAAUGUGACGCGAUGAAUCACAAGAUUUUCAAUUUAUUCAUUACAACGAGAAGAAAAAGAUAAGAUACCGAAAUAGCGUAUAAAACCGAAUCUAGGCUCGUCGUUGAGUCCUUUUCCAGAUGGCAAGAAAAUUUGCGAGCAGCAUGCUGCACCGAUAUGUGGGUGCAACGUAUACGUUAAUAGUCUUUAUUUCUCUCUUUCUCUUUCUCUGGCACAGUAAUGGGACGGUAACGAAAACUGACGCACCGCGAACGUCUCUGGACCGUAUCCAAAAUUGGGUUCCAAACGUUUAAACAGGAAAACGCCGUGCUUGUUCGCUCGUUUGCUCAUUCGCUGGCGAAUUUCAAGAAUGAUUUUACGAUCGAUCCAUUCGGCUGUGAAAAUUUAGAUCGACUUACUCGCGAUUAGCCAUGUUUAUGUAUAUGUGUAUAUAUCUACGUACUUGAUC